rnacentral:rRNA from 1 species
AUUAUUAUAAUUAAAAAUAAUAAUAUUUAAUUAGUAUUAGUUAUAUACUUGAAAUUUAAAAAAUUUGGCGGUAUUUUAAUCUUAUUAGAGGAACCUGUUCUGUAAUCGAUAUUCCACGUUAAAUUUUACUAAGUUUUAUUAUUUGUAUAUCGUUGUCUAAAGAAUAUUUUAUAAGGAUAUAAAUUUUCUAAAAUUUAAAUUUAAAUUUAUGUCAAAUCAAGGUGCAGUUUAUAAUUUAGAAGAAAUGGGUUACAAUAAAAUUAUUUAAAUGAAUUUAAUUUUGAAAUAAAUUAUUAAAGGUGGAUUUAAUAGUAAAUUAAUUUUAAUAAAAUUAAUUGAUUAAAGUUCUAAAAUAUGUAC